UCACACUCAAGGCGGAGACCUGUUUCCUGAGACUACAUAGUCCUUACACCGUCAAGUUCCUCCUGAGGUUGACAAGGUUUUCCUUACGGAUUGCCCAUUCUGAUUAGGCGGGUCCCCAGAAAGGCAGAAGAGACCAUGCACCUCUGACAGAGUAAAUGAAUACAGCCUAGAGACCUGAGCAGUAAAGAAGAAGAAAAAAGAAGAAAAAGAAAGAAACAAAAGAAAAGGGCACCAACUGCCUCUGUCGUAAUGAAUUUUGUCAUAUUCUAACCCCCGGAAUAACACCCUCUUUGCUCUAAAUAGAGUCUAGAGACACACCUUGCAUUUGGUUUAUUUCCUGGAUGGGAAAAUAAUCAUUUCCAGGAUACCUACCCGCUCCCACCCUCCCCAAAUCUACCUUUCCAAGGUGGGGGAAGGUGCAUCCUCGUCGGGCUCCGCCUGUGCCCUCCUAGUACCUCUGGCCAGCAGCCCGUGGGCCCGCACUCCCUGGACAUCCAUGAAUGUUUGAUGCUACAUCUCUACC